CAGUAUUUAGGAGAAGAGACCAAGGUUCGAACCUCGGCAGUAGCAGUGUGGAGAUUAUACCCAAAGUGGGUAGAUCCCUUGUGCGCACCGACAUUUGAUCCUGUCUGCUGAGCUAUUAAGUCACCAUGGUGUGGGGGGCCCUUGGGGUUGGGGACUCAACCUUUGAGAUCCACGCUUGUAACCACAAGGUCACGAGUUCAAAUCCUUGCCUCCUUGGUUUGAGCCGGUCAACUAUAGGUAACUUAGUCUGGUUUACUUCCUUAUGGUCCUUUGCCAGCUAGGGUCACAAGGCUGAGUUUACUUAUACCCAAAAGGGUUGUGAGGUUUCCCUCAUCAUCCAAAAAAAUAAAAGAGAAAAGAGUACAUGA